rnacentral:rRNA from 1 species
GGCUAAUCCUCCAUAGUUGGAGCGUCCUGGAACGGUGUUCCAUCGAAAGAUAAAGCGUUAUGUCGCUCGUUCGCUGAAGGAUAGGAUCGCUCUCGAUUACGGUCGUUGGUGAGGUAAUGGCUCACCAAGCCUAUGAUCGAUAAGGGCCGUGAGAGCGGGAGCCCUGAGAUGAAUACUGAGACAAUGAUUCAGGCCUUACGAGGCGCAGCAGGCGCGAAACCUUUACAAUACACGCAAGUGUGAUAAGGUUACCCGGAGUGCCGAGAGAAAAACUGUCGGCUGUUAUAGGUGUGUAAACUACCCUAUGAGAAAGGAGAGGGCAAGGCUGGUGCCAGCCGCCGCGGUAAAACCAGCUCUUCAAGUGGUCGGGACUUUUAUUGGGCUUAAAGUGUCCGUAGCCGGUUUGAUAAGUUCCUGGUUAAAUCUGGUAGCUUAACUAUCAGUUCGCUAGGAAUACUAUCUUGCUAGAGGGUGGGAAAGGUUUGGGGUACUCCAGGGGUAGCGGUGAAAUGCGAUAAUCCUUGGGGGACCACCAGUGGCGAAGGCGCCAGACUGGAACACGCCUGACGGUGAGGGACGAAAGCCAGGGGAGCGAACGGGAUUAGAUACCCCGGUAGUCCUGGCUGUAAACGAUGCGUGCUAGGUGUUGGUAGGGCUCGGAGCUGUACCAGUGCCAAAGGGAAACUGUUAAGCGCGCCGCCUGGGAAGUACGUUCGCAAGAAUGAAACUUAAAGGAAUUGGCGGGGGAGCACCACAAGGGGUGAAGCCUGCGGUUCAAUUGGACCCAACGCCGGGAAACUUACCGAGGGCAACAGCAGAAUGAAGGUCAGGCUGACGACCUUACCAGACAAGCUGAGUGGAGGUGCAUGGCCGUCGCCAGUUCGUGCCGUGAGGUAUCCUGUUAAGUCAGGCAACGAACGAGACCCACAUGCUUAAUUGCCAUCAAUGGCCUUAGGGUCAGUUGGGAACGUUAAGCAGACUGCCACCGUACAGGUGGAGGGAGGAGUGGGCCACGGCAGGUCAGUAUGCCCCUAAUCCCUCGGGCCACACGCGGGCUGCAAUGGUAUGGACAAUGGGUCGCGACUCUGAAAAGAGAAGCCAAUCUCGAAACCAUAUCUCAGUUGGGAUUGUCGGCUGUAACCCGCCGACAUGAACGUGGAAUCCCUAGUAAUCGUGUGUCAUCAUCGCACGGUGAAUACGUCUCUGCUCCUUGCACACACCGCCCGUCGCUCCAUCUGAGUGGCGUAUAGUUGAAGAUUGGUCCAUGGGGUCAAUUUAAAAUUGUAUUCCGCGAGGAGGGAGAAGUCGUAACAAGGUAGCCGUAGGGGAACCUGCGGCUGGAUCACCUCC